rnacentral:misc_RNA from 1 species
AAGUCGUAACAAGGUCUCCGUUGGUGAACCAGCGGAGGGAUCAUUACCGAGUUUGCUUUUCUAGCUCGAAACCCAUUGUGAACAUACCUCUUAUUCGUUGCUUCGGCGGCGGUUCUCUGCUCCUGCUAGGCUCCCUUUCUUUCUUACGAGGGCAGGGUUUCUAGAGGGAACCGAGUUCCCCUAAGCCGUCGGAGGGACGCAAAAAACCCAAACUCUUUCUUAAUUUUUGAGUAUUAUCUGAGUCGAUAUUUUUAAAUUAUCAAAACUUUCAGCAACGGAUCUCUUGGUUCUG